rnacentral:rRNA from 1 species
CGAACGCUGGCGGCGCGCCUAACACAUGCAAGUCGAACGAGCGAGAGAGAGCUUGCUUUCUCGAGCGAGUGGCGAACGGGUGAGUAACGCGUGAGGAACCUGCCUCAAAGAGGGGGACAACAGUUGGAAACGACUGCUAAUACCGCAUAGGCCCACGGUGCCGCAUGGCACAGAGGGAAAAGGAGCAAUCCGCUUUGAGAUGGCCUCGCGUCCGAUUAGCUAGUUGGUGAGGUAACGGCCCACCAAGGCGACGAUCGGUAGCCGGACUGAGGGGUUGAACGGCCACAUUGGGACUGAGACACGGCCCAGACUCCUACGGGAGGCAGCAGUGGGGAAUAUUGCACAAUGGGGGAAACCCUGAUGCAGCGACGCCGCGUGGAGGAAGAAGGUCUUCGGAUUGUAAACUCCUGUUGUUGGGGAAGAUAAUGACGGUACCCAACAAGGAAGUGACGGCUAACUACGUGCCAGCAGCCGCGGUAAAACGUAGGUCACAAGCGUUGUCCGGAAUUACUGGGUGUAAAGGGAGCGCAGGCGGGAAGACAAGUUGGAAGUGAAAUCUAUGGGCUCAACCCAUAAACUGCUUUCAAAACUGUUUUUCUUGAGUAGUGCAGAGGUAGGCGGAAUUCCCGGUGUAGCGGUGGAAUGCGUAGAUAUCGGGAGGAACACCAGUGGCGAAGGCGGCCUACUGGGCACCAACUGACGCUGAGGCUCGAAAGU